rnacentral:rRNA from 1 species
GACGAACGCUGGCGGCGUGCUUAACACAUGCAAGUCGAACGGAAAGGCCCUGCUUUUGUGGGGUGCUCGAGUGGCUAACGGGUGAGUAACACGUGAGUAACCUGCCCUUGACUUUGGGAUAACUUCAGGAAACUGGGGCUAAUACCGGAUAGUAGCUCCUGCUGCAUGGUGGGGGUUGGAAAGUUUCGGCGGUUGGGGAUGUACUCGCGGCUUAUCAGCUUGUUGGUGGGGUAGUGGCUUACCAAGGCUUUGACGGGUAGCCGGCCUGAGAGGGUGACCGGCCACAUUGGGACUGAGAAACGGCCAAGACUCAUACGGGAGGAAGCAGUGGGGAAUAUUGCAAAAUGGGCGGAAGCAUGAUGCAGCAACGCCGCGUGCGGGAUGACGGCCUUCGGGUUGUAAACCGCUUUCGCCUGUGACGAAGCAUGAGUGACGGUAAUGGGUAAAGAAGCACCGGCUAACUACGUG